CUUUCAUCCACCAUCCUUUCCCCACAAGCACAGUGGACCCCUUAUGUGCCUGUCUUUCGCAGAGCGCUCGUUCUGGCUGAGCAGGAUUUAGCUGUUGCGCCGCAGAGGUCGUUGGGCUGUAGUCGUAUGCAUAUAUUCACUGACGUGCUUGUGGUAGAAUGACACCUUGGAGGCGAGAACAACAAAGUUCUCUUUUCCAAUCCGUUUUGUAUGUGUGCUGCUUGCAUCGUGCCUCGUUGCAACUGUAGCGUGACGGCUUCCGCUUCACCUCACGCCACCGCCGCCUCAUCGUCCGCACUUCUCUUCGCGUGGUCCCUCAUUUCCGGUUAAUAUCAGUGUAUUGUUUUCGGUUAGAAUUCAACUCUGCUGCCUUGCUCCGUGCCGCACCAGUAGACGCUGCGGCGCUGCGCAGAAGAAGAGAGCAGGUGGGGGAGGCCCUACACACACUUUCAUCUUCCCUCCCUCCCCUCAUCCUGUCAGCGAGUGCAGCUGCCCACACGUGCCCAGUCGAUUCACGCAUCGUUGCGAGAAACAGCAGAAUAGAAAAAGCACUUCCAUGUUCUUCGAAGAGAACCUUAACGACACGGCAGAGUAUGAGUCGCUCCUGCACGCUGACGGUGCGCCGAUGCGGCCCCUGUCGCAGGUCAGCGACGGCGGUGCCUCUUCAGGCGCACCUUCUAUGAGUGGCAUCAGCGCCACCUUCGGUGUUGACGGUCUCCCGUUGGAGCCAACUGAAUCGGGCGGUGGAGCGGCGGCUAAAACGCAAAGCGCGUCGGCGGCGGCGAUUCAGCUGCUGAUCGAAGCCACCGCAAAUGAACGCUUCAGCCCCGAGGUGCUGCCCUACCCAGCGACCACCAUCAGCACCGUCGUCCACUUAAUUCAGCGAACACAGGAACGGGUGGAGGCGAUGGUGGCGGAGGAGAAGCGUGAAGGAGCCGAGCGCUCGCUUUUGCCUUUCCGUCCGUCAGACAUCAUGGGCUUGGAGAUGCAGCGCAUUCAGUUUUUCUUGUGUGAGCUGCUGCGAUGCCGACUGCGCAAGAUCGAACAUCUCGCCACGUCCAUUUACUACGAAGGGCUGGCGGUCGGGCAGUCAUCUAUGUCGCAGUCGAGGCUAGGACAGGCAGAUGAGACUGAAGCUUUUCCCUCUGCCUCUGCUGCCGCUGCUCUACCAGAGGUGCGUGUACCGCAGCGGCAAAACUUGUCGCUCAAGGAGCAGUGGGUGGCGGAUCGACUGGCGAAAAGCGCGCACGCGGCGUUGAUGGAGUCGGGCCUGCAAUCGAUGCCGGCUGCGCUGCAGUAUCUUGUUCCCUAUCCUUCGGAGGCGGAGGGGAUGGAGAUAUUACCGGAGCCGGACCUUGGGGCGUACGUCUUCGGUGUGGCUCUCGAAGAUUUGGGUGUUGUAAAUCUCGGCGAGGGUGGCCAAGACGCUUCGCGUGCCAUCAACGCCGGCGAAUUGUUCCUCACUCCCUACCACAAUUUUCGCCCGUAUGUUAUGUCAGGGCAAGUGCGGCUGGUGUGACAUGCACAAAAAAGGACCAGCUUACUCUUCCUCUGCGUGUAUGUAUGUGGGAGGGGGCAGAGGGAGGGGAGAAGGAGGUGCGUGUGUGCGGUACCCCAGCGGGUUAUCAAGGGCCCGAAGAUCCUCACCGUGCCUGAUGGUAUCAGGCAACAAAAAGGCGAUGCGGGGUCGGCGGAGACGCAGUACUGUUCUUGCUGCCGUGCUCCUGGCCAGCCCCUCUCGCAUUCGUAUCAACACUUACACACCCAAGCGCGACACGCGUCAGCGCACAUACACCGACAUAGAAGUCCCCCCGACGUACACUAAAAA
rnacentral:misc_RNA from 1 species